rnacentral:rRNA from 1 species
AUGCAUGUCUAAGUAUAAGCAAUUAUACAGCGAAACUGCGAAUGGCUCAUUAAAUCAGUUAUCGUUUAUUUGAUAGUACCUUACUACUUGGAUAACCGUGGUAAUUCUAGAGCUAAUACAUGCUAAAAACCCCGACUCACGAAGGGGUGUAUUUAUUAGAUUAAAAACCAAUGCCCUUCGGGGCUCUCUGGUGAUUCAUAAUAACUUCUCGAAUCGCAUGGGCUUGUGCCGGCGAUGGUUCAUUCAAAUUUCUGUCCUAUCAACUUUCGAUGGCAGGGUCUUGGCCUGCCAUGGUUACAACGGGUAACGGAGGGUUAGGGUUCGACCCCGGAGAAGGAGCCUGAGAAACGGCUACUACAUCCAAGGAAGGCAGCAGGCGCGCAAAUUACCCAAUCCCGAUUCGGGGAGGUAGUGACAAUAA